GAGUUUGAUUAUGGCUCAGGAUGAACGCUAGCGAUAGGCUUAACACAUGCAAGUCGAGGGGCAGCGAGGGUAGCAAUACCUGUCGGCGACCGGCGCACGGGUGAGUAACGCGUAUGUAACCUGCCCGCAACAGGGGGAUAACCCGGCGAAAGUCGGACUAAUACCGCAUAAAACAGGGGUCCUGCAUGGGAAUAUUUGUUAAAGAUUUAUCGGUUGCGGAUGGGCAUGCGUACCAUUAGGUAGUUGGUGAGGUAACGGCUCACCAAGCCUUCGAUGGUUAGGGGUUCUGAGAGGAAGGUCCCCCACACUGGUACUGAGACACGGACCAGACUCCUACGGGAGGCAGCAGUGAGGAAUAUUGGUCAAUGGGCGAGAGCCUGAACCAGCCAAGUCGCGUGAAGGAUGACUGCCCUAUGGGUUGUAAACUUCUUUUACAAGGGAAUAAAAUGAGAUACGUGUAUUUUAUUGCAUNACCUNGAUAGU
rnacentral:rRNA from 1 species